GAACAACGAGGAAAACCGAAACUGGAGCCAUUUUGUGUGUCGAAGUCGAAAUAAACGGACAUAUUGUGUCGUACAUAGACCUCUCUACUGAGUGGGAGGGCACACUUAAGGAGACACAAGACACACACAUAGAGAUACACACUCCACGCCUUUAUCCUGAAAGAUUUGUAUUUAUUUAUUUAUUUCUGGGUGACGAAGCAACACUUUGCAGCAUUCAAGUUCACUCGGAAAUUUGACAAUCGAGCUUUGUUGCGUUGAUUUAUUAAUUAUAUACCCAGCAGAUAAACAAUUUUUUUUCACGCAUUUAACAUUAUUAUGGAAAUACUUAUUUAAUCUAUACUUCUACUGAAGUUGAAGAUAUUACUCCUUUUCCUUAGUACUCCAUGAACUAACAAGAUAUUAACUAACCCUAACCCAUGCUUCAUCUGCACAUUAAAUUACCUUAGAUUACUCUUCAAAUGCAGGACUGAUGAUAAUGAGUCAAACAUGUUAUACUGAAGCACCUGCAGACUCAGGACUGCCAGCUGAAGCUCUCAACACGUGUCAAUAAGAUCCAACAGCUUCUUACCGCAGGAUCAUAUUGCUGUUCAAAUCCAGGCUGAAAUCUAUAUCACACAUGUUUAUAAUUUUCUUCACACUUUGUUCUCUUUUCUCUAAAAUAUUUAGCAUAAUACUGUAUCUAUAGCAGUCGUCUCAGCUCGUCUGGGGUGAACAAAUGCGGCAAAGACUUCAAACGGGGAAGCUUGCAGUCAUGUGACUUUUAAUGUCAGAAGACAAAUGUUCUACAGCCAGCUUCCAACGUCUGGAACAUGACCACAUGGAGACCAUACAUGAAUGAACAGUUGAUAGUGGCUUUAUGGAAGCCUGACUGUAACCUGCAAUAACUGCAGCUGGUCUUAUUCUAUCAAGCAUAUAAAUCUGAAACAGAACUGAGGUUGAUCACAUGGUUACAACUGCAGUCCAUGUCUGUGUGAGUGGAUACAAUGCAAUGAAUUAACGUCAGUCCUAUUAUGACAACUGGUGGUUGUUAUAAAGUAUUUAAAGCCAAACUGCACAUUGUUCUCUUCAUGACCUCAGAGUUAGACCCAUAUGGUGGCGUGUUCUGUGGGCAGCUAUUUAUGUUGCAUGUAACUGGACAUGGGAAAAAAUGAUGCUGAACUCAAGUGAUGUUUAAAAUACAAACCCCUGGCUGUCCCAUUCAGUACUUUAUUGUGAACAUAGUGUACACUGCUUGUCAAAUGAACAUCAUAUAAAUUCUUUACAGUCUUUUCUUUAAUUUUGUUUAGUAUUACCUGAAUACUAAGAUUUCUAAUUACCACCAACUUUAUAGACUGUAUGAAACAGCAUUAAUAAGGACCUGGACUGUUCAGUUUGUAGUGUGAUGUUUAUAAAGGAUCAUUUGAAGGACACAGUUUACUUAUGUGUUACAUUUUUACUUAAAGUCUGAAGUUAGAAAACACAAAAUCCAAUAUGGCUGCCUUGCUUAAAAAACUUUGUGAAAGCCAACGUUAAAAAUAAAGCUUUAUCUGCUCUCCUGA